UACGGAGGGUCCAAGCGUUAUCCGGAAUCAUUGGGUUUAAAGGGUCCGUAGGCGGUUUUGUAAGUCAGUGGUGAAAGCCCAUCGCUCAACGGUGGAACGGCCAUUGAUACUGCAAGACUUGAAUUAUUGGGAAGUAACUAGAAUAUGUAGUGUAGCGGUGAAAUGCUUAGAGAUUACAUGGAAUACCAAUUGCGAAGGCAGGUUACUACCAAUAUAUUGACGCUGAUGGACGAAAGCGUGGGAGCAAACAGGG
rnacentral:rRNA from 1 species